rnacentral:lncRNA from 1 species
AAAACCAAAAAUAUAAGGAUUUGGAAAUUUCGGUGCUUCUAUAAAAAUCCUCUAUCAUUUCCUUGACUUGGAGCAAAGGAUUUGGUGUUUGUAUUACCUCUGUUUGAUACUUGUGCUGCCUCUGGAUGGGCAGCAAAACAUCCGAUGUGAACUUGGGAAGAAACUAAAAGAUGCUCGGGAGUAAAAGAAGACUGAAGAAUGUCCUCAAAGUACAUGGUGACCAGAGGGUGAAGCAAACUAAAUGUCUAUGAGGAACUCUUCAAAGCUCCCAGGCUGCUGAGGUGAUGGAUGACAUAAACAUACGUUUCUGUUUUUUUCCCCCCCACUCUCUAUUGCUUACUCCCAAGUCAACUCUAGCUUGCUAUUAGGAGAAUAUUGGAGACUCUUGGCUCAGCUAGUUUUGUUGAUUCCAGUCUGUUUGAUACUGUCAAAUUUAUCUGUAUAAUUAAUAAUGUUAAUAAAUAUAUAAUAAUAAAAA